rnacentral:tRNA from 1 species
AGCUUUAUAGUCACUAAUGAUGUUAGACUGCAAUUCUAGAGGAGUAGACGUCAGUUGUUUACUAAGGCUU